GCCACCUUAGCUCAGUUGGUUAGAGCAACGGUUUUGUAAACCGUAGGUCCUCGGUUCGAAUCCGAGAGGUGGCUCAA
rnacentral:tRNA from 1 species